rnacentral:rRNA from 1 species
GAUGAACGCUGGCGGCGUGCCUAAUACAUGCAAGUCGAGCGAACGGACGAGAAGCUUGCUUCUCUGAUGUUAGCGGCGGACGGGUGAGUAACACGUGGAUAACCUACCUAUAAGACUGGGAUAACUUCGGGAAACCGGAGCUAAUACCGGAUAAUAUUUUGAACCGCAUGGUUCAAAAGUGAAAGACGGUCUUGCUGUCACUUAUAGAUGGAUCCGCGCUGCAUUAGCUAGUUGGUAAGGUAACGGCUUACCAAGGCAACGAUGCAUAGCCGACCUGUGAGGGUGAUCGGCCACACUGGAACGGAGACAAGGUCCAGACUCCUACGGGAGGCAGCAGUAGGGAAUCUUCCGCAAUGGGCGAAGGCCUGACGGAGCAACGCCGCGUGAGUGAUGAUGGUCUGCGGAUCGUAAAACUCUGUUAUUAGGGAAGAACAUAUGUGUAAGUAACUGUGCACAUCUUGACGGUACCUAAUCAGAAAGCCACGGCUAACUACGUG